GAAUUCCCUGUUAAAUCCAUCAAGUGAACCCAGCUCCUUUUUGGGAGCUGCUCCAUUAAGCUGGCAGCUGCAGAACCUGAUGUAAGCCUGCAUGUGGGACAGCUCAGCGGCCAGGAUGUCCCCAAUCAUCUGCACCGGCAUCUUCUCGCCCCCGGUCUUCUUCCGCACCCGCAAAGCCCUGCCAAGAACACACUCUCAUUUUGUGUUUCUAAGUGAAUGACUUAGGUAAUUAAAGGAUGA
rnacentral:lncRNA from 10 species